rnacentral:rRNA from 1 species
UACGUAGGGUGCAAGCGUUAAUCGGAAUUACUGGGCGUAAAGCGCGUGUAGGCGGCUCGGUAAGUCUGCUGUGAAAGUCCAGGGCUCAACCCUGGGAUGCCGGUGGAUACUGUCGAGCUCGAGUCCGGAAGAGGCGAGUGGAAUUCCUGGUGUAGCGGUGAAAUGCGCAGAUAUCAGGAAGAACACCCGUGGCGAAGGCGGCUCUCUGGAACGCAACUGACGCUGAGACGCGAAAGCGUGGGGAGCAAACAGG